GAUGAACGCUGGCGGCGUGCCUAAUACAUGCAAGUCGAGCGAACAGACGAGGAGCUUGCUCCUCUGACGUUAGCGGCGGACGGGUGAGUAACACGUGGAUAACCUACCUAUAAGACUGGGAUAACUUCGGGAAACCGGAGCUAAUACCGGAUAAUAUAUUGAACCGCAUGGUUCAAUAGUGAAAGACGGUUUUGCUGUCACUUAUAGAUGGAUCCGCGCCGCAUUAGCUAGUUGGUAAGGUAACGGCUUACCAAGGCAACGAUGCGUAGCCGACCUGAGAGGGUGAUAGGUCACAAUGGAACUGAGACACGGUCCAGACUCCUACGGGAGGCACCAGUAGGGAAUCUUCCGCAAUGGGCGAAAGCCUGACGGAGCAACGCCGCGUGAGUGAUGAAGGUCUUCGGAUCGGAAAACUCUGUUAUUAGGGAAGAACAAAUGUGUAAGUAACUAUGCACGUCUUGACGGUACCUAAUCAGAAAGCCACGGCUAACUACGUG
rnacentral:rRNA from 1 species